GGUGUUCGACGAAAUGCUCACAAGAACAUCUUUGUCUUCUGAUGGAUAUGCAACUUUUAAUUUUAUUGGGGUAUUGCGGCUGCUGACAAUAAUCAUGUUCAAAUUUUAUGAGGGAUUAAGAAGACGGGCAUAGCCCUUAUUUCCGAACUCAAGCUAAUGUCAAUAUAGGUAAAAAUUUCACUAUAUGUGAUAAUGUAAUUUUUUAAGGGUAUUUUUUUAUUAAUCUACAA